rnacentral:rRNA from 1 species
GAUGAACGCUAGCGGCAGGCCUAAUACAUGCAAGUCGAACGGUAACAUGGUCAGCAAUGACUGAUGACGAGUGGCGCACGGGUGCGUAACGCGUAUGCAAUCUACCUCUUACUGGGGAAUAGCCCGGAGAAAUCCGGAUUAACACCGCAUAAUAUAUUGUUGAGGCAUCUCAGUAAUAUUAAAUAUUUAUAGGUAAGAGAUGAGCAUGCGUCCAAUUAGUUAGUUGGUGAGGUAACGGCUCGCCAAGACUAUGAUUGGUAGGGGUUCUGAGAGGAAGGUCCCCCACACUGGUACUGAGAUACGGACCAGACUCCUACGGGAGGCAGCAGUAGGGAAUAUUGGGCAAUGGACGAGAGUCUGACCCAGCCAUGCCGCGUGCAGGAAGAAGGCCUUCUGGGUUGUAAACUGCUUUUGAUCGGGAACAAAACACCCUAUGCGUAGGGAUUUGAGUGUACCGAUAGAAUAAGCACCGGCUAAC